UGCUCCUAUGAUGCUGCUUGGCCUGCUGUGUUCAUCCAGCCCUGCACCUUGUUGUCUCAUGAAGAAAGAGGCCACCGUUUUAGCAGGCAAAUAAAUGUGUAAAGCUGAGAGAGCAAAUGAUGGUAAAUUUAAGAUACGUAUUUGAACCAACAUUUGCAAAGCAGGCACCCUCCCUGGAUUCACUCCCUCUCCCUUCAGUUGCUGCAAGUGAACAGUUUCUCCACCCCACCACCCAGGGGGAGACAUUGCUUUACUCCCAGAUGUUGCACAAGCGGAGGAGGUUUCACUGGGAGGACAAUAUCUGCAUUGUGACGUCCCGGGGCUGAAGCAGCCAAUAGGAAUUGCUGUGUUCGGUGGUGACGUUCUCGGGUUUCAGGCGCGUGGACGUGGGAGUGCCGCCCCCACCCAUUGUUCCCCGACUGCAGUCAAGGUUUCCAGGGCAACCAGCUGGCGGCUCGGGCCAGAGCGAGAAGCUGCUCGGGGAUCUGCCCCUCCCCCUCCCUCCGGCGGCAAUUGCUGAAUCAGAAGUUUAACACGAUUUUUAGAAGAGGAGACUUUGCAGUUAACAAACUGAAACCAAACGUUACUCAGGAUCUGAGAGAGUUACCAAACGUAUCACAACCUGAAUACUACGGCAUGUUGGACAUGGAAGGAGAAAGCACCAUUCCCAGCGGGCAGAAACUAGUUCUGUUUUUGGGGAAGGCUUCAAUCAAUCAUCUGGCCUAUCAGAAUGUAAACACACUCAUAAUGAUUAGAAGCCGUGGAGAUGAGGGGAUUGUGGUAAAGACUUCUUUCAUCUAUCAAUGCUGAAAAAUCAUCAGCAUCGUCACACCAGGAAGAGGCCAUUCACCUGUUUUGAGUGUGGAGAGGGAUUCACUCAAUCAUCCACCCUGCUAACACUUCUGAUGAAGGGUCUACGCCCGAAAUGUCAGCCUUCCUGCUCCUAUGAUGCUGCUUGGCCUGCUGUGUUCAUCCAUCUCUGCACCUUGUUAUCUCAGAUUCUCCAGCAUCUGCAGUUCCUACUAUCUCUGACAUACCAGAGUGUUCACACUGGCAAGAGGCUAUUCACCCUCAGAGUGUGGGAAGAGAUUUAUCGAUUCAUCAAACCUGGUGACACACCAGCAAGUUCACACUGAUGAGUGACCUUUUAAAUGCCCAAUCUGAAGAAAGUGCUAUGAAAGGUCUGGGGCACUAAUGCUCCAUCAGUGUACUCACACUGACAAGAGACUGUUUGGGUGUUCUGACUGCCAGGCAGCAUUUAGGUGAUCAUCUUGCCUCACUGCAUACCAUCAAGUUCGCACUAGGGAGAAGCCCUUUACCUGCUCUGACUGUGGGAAGGGAAGUCAGUCAGUCAUCCCAGCACAUUCACACUGUGGAGUGACCAUUCACCUGCUCCAGCUGUGGGAAGGGAGUCACACAGGUAUCAUAUCUGCUGAGUGACCAGAGAGUUCACAAGAAACUGCAGUGAUUGGAUUUUACUAUUAACCACGUUCAUUGUGGUCUGUUUCUGCUGAUAUUAAUAACCACCUGCUCAGGUAUAUGUUAAUGUAGAUAAACAUCAAAUAAACCAGUUUUGUGUAAAACAGUGUUUCAUCUUCUUAUUGUCUCUAACACAGGGGAUUCCCUUUUGAAUUGCUGUCCUACUUCCCUCCAUCCUCACCUUUUAACAAGAAGUAUGAGAAGCUCCGUUGUCACUGAGAUGAAGACAGUCCGAUCAGCUGCCUCUGCCCGGACUGGGAAAAUUGCUCUGGAAAUCUCAGUGAUCUGAUUUGCCACCAAUGUAUUUACUCACAAAGGAAAGACCAUUCAGGUGCUCUCACUGUAGGACUGGCCUCCGGCAAUCAUCUGCCUCACUGUACACCAGUGAGUUUACACGAUAGGGAGGCUGUUCACUUGCUCUGAGCAUGAGAAGAUUCACUCAGACAGCCUACCUUCUGAGACACCAACAAGUUCAUUAGUGACUGCAGGAGUUGGAUUUCCUGUUAAUCAAAUGCUGAACACAUUCAUUUUCUCAUUUGGUCUUUUUCUACUGAUGUUAAUAAAUUCCAGAAGUUUUAAAUGCAAAUAAUCAGAAUGAAAACUCACAUGAGUUAGCAUAGUGUUAAACCCAGUGUGUUGAGUCUUUUUCAUACCUCAAACACAAGUGAGUCCCUUUUGAAGGCUCUCCCUCUUUCUUCUAAUGACACGGGUGAGAUGUUCCAGGAGCUGAGACCCCACUACAAAUAAGAAAAUCUGAUCGGUGCCUCCGCUGCUCCUAUCCCUUCCACUAGCUCAUUGGGUCAAGCAGCUUGUCAAGUUCUUCCUUGACCCCAGAUCCCCAGCUUUCUCCAGUUUCUCUCCUGUCAGAGCUUGUCUUGUCCAUGAGACCCAUGUUUGUUCCACUGACCUAUUCUCACUAAACAUAUUUGCUGAUAUUGUUAAAGGUUAACUCUCCCUUAAAAUUUCAUAUUCCCAAUCCUUUUUAAAAAAAGACUGGAUUCCACGGUAUUUGCAAAGACUUGAACUUGGUGUUCACCAAAGAGCUGUCCUUGGUCCCUCCUAUUUCUCACCUACACAUUGCCACUUUUUAACAUCAUCCAAAAGCACUGUGUCAGUUUUUACAUGGUCACUGAUAACUACCAGCUCUAGCUCACCAUCAGCCCUGUCCAUUCCUCUACUGUUAUUCAAUGAUUCCACACCUAAUACUGGACAAGCUGAAAAGUCCUCCAGGGAAACAUUUGGAAGAACAAUCCAUUGUCUUCAGUUACUGCUACACAUUCCAUUCUCAAACCCCUGAAUCUGUCCCUCUUCCCUGAGAGUAAGGCUGAACCACACUGUUCAUAGUCUCAGUCACAGGUUUGACAUGAAGAUGAAUUUUCAACCACAAAACCACACUUUCACUCACACCGGAUAUUCCAAUCUCCAUAAAGUCAGCCAUCUCCACCCCAGCCCAGCUCAUCAGCUGCUGAAACCCUUGUCUGUGCCUGUGUUAAACUUGAUAAUUAUAAUGCAUUCCUGAUCAGCUCACAUUCACCCCAGCCCCGUGUGGAAAUGUGAGAUCUCUCAAAAUCUCUGUUCUGCAAUUCCUGUUCACAUUCCCUCUAAACUGUGUGAGUGCAGUCAGUCCAAGCUUAAGUGGUCUGACUGAGGCAUUGACUUCCAAUUUUGGAAGUCAUGAGCAUGCACCAUCCCUGGAGGCCUGCACAACCAGAAUGAAAAUUAGAGGAAAUUCUGGUCCUGUUCACCCAACACCCUCUUUGUUCCCUGAGAGUGUUACUGCUCAUUUCCUUUUCUGCGUUGAACUCUGAGGUCUGUAUGCAGCAGCAGCAAUGCUUGCUCGUGGGAUCUUGGUGCUUCACUGGAUCUUUUUUUACCUGUCCUUGCAGUGAAUCUGUUAAUCUUGGCCCCACACACUGUUGCUCCUCCCUAGGCUGAAAUCCAAAUGUUAGAGCAUUUAUACAAUUUCAUUCCUCCACUCCAGUCUCUUCCUUCCCUCUAUCUUGUCUGCUUUGAAUUCUCCACACAUUGUGUGCAGGAACAGACUGAAAUCAAUGAGAUAAUGUUUUUAGUGGGGUCAUGGGAACCGUGAAGAAUGUAGAAGAAUUAACUGAAUUACUGUUCAUUUUCAACUCAUUU